ACAAGGAUGGAAGAGAUAGUGACACUGUGAUGUGAAGACACUUUCCAUCAUGAAAUUAUUAAUUGGUGUCAACAUAACGUGGGCUCCGACUAGCAGCUUUUCUACCACAAUGAUAAACAAUUUAUAUGGAAAAGAGAUGGCUCUGAUAAUUCUACACUCACAGGUCUUCACCUGAUAACCUUGACAUGUGUCCCCUAGGUUUUAGGAACUUGGAUUUCUCUAGGCUGAGUUGUACUACUCCCUUUCUCUGAACAUACAUAUCAUUGGUUAGUUCAUUCAUAUUGAUUCUCGGGGCUUCUCCAAUCCCUCAAGCCUUCCCACUCUACCAUUCAGACAAUGAGAAGCGUGUCAUAACUAAUGCUGCAUAAUUUUUUAAAAAACUGCUGGAUACUAACACUGCAAUUCAAUUGUAAAAUAUGAUAGAAGUGUAAGUGUUUAAGAUCCCAGAGGUUCUGUUCAAUUUUGCAUUUAUUGUUAGAUAUUCACCCUAAUAUUUUCAGGAGUUAGAGUGUUCUUCGCCCAUUUUGGUUACGGUAUCAGAACUUACUAUCAAUACAUUGGUGACCAAGAACUACAGGCAGAAUCGUAGUGAAGGCUUGAUACAUAACGCAUAAUGAAGAUUGAUAACAGUAAAAAGCGAACUGGUCAUUGGCCUUCAGAUAAAAUGAAACCUCCCAACUUUGUGCUGAGGGAAUUAUUUUACCCCUUUAGGUUAGAGUGUGUUGGCUGGUUCAAUGCAGUUCUAGGAUAAAGCUGUGUCAAUGACCCUAGAGGACUGGGAGCAUGGAGGACCUGGUAGAAAAGAAAUACCAAAAGAGAAGGAAAAUGCUUAGCAAAAUGCUAAAAUCAAGAGGUCACUAAUUGAUAUAUAUAUUUUGAGUUGCCUUUGAGACUUCCAAGUAGAAACAUCCAGCACAGGAUAGGCCUAGAGAUGUAGGGAGAGAUCUAAUCCCCCAAGCCCUGAACAUGUGAGUGAGGACGCUUGGAUGAACUUCCAGUCUAUGAAUACGUUAAACAAACUUUUAGCUGUGUUUUAGUUUACAACAAUUGUUUUCUAAGAACUUAGGCAUUUGUGGAGACAAUGAUGUCACUGUAGGAACUUCCGUGUAAGGACAGCUACAUCUCACUUCCUCUGCUCCUGCUCACAGUGACCCUGAUCUGGCAAAGCUCCCAUCCUGCCCUGACUUUGCCAUGGGCACCAGGCUCCUCUGCUGGGCGGCCCUCUGUCUCCUGGGGGCAGAACUCACAGAAGCUGGAGUGACCCAGUCUCCGAGAUAUAAGAUCACAGAGAAAAAACAGCCUGUGGCUUUUUGGUGCAAUCCUAUUUCUGGCCACAAUACCCUUUACUGGUACCGGCAGAACUUGGGACAGGGCCCGGAGCUUCUGGUUCGAUAUGAGAAUGAGGAAGCAGUAGAUGAUUCACAGUUGCCUAAGGAUCGAUUUUCUGCAGAGAGGCUCAAAGGAGUAGACUCCACUCUCAGGAUCCAGCCUGCAGAGCUUGGCGACUCAGCCGUGUAUCUCUGUGCCAGCAGCUUAGCCACAGCGGUGCAGAGACACUUCCCUCCUGUGCACAAAACUGCAGGACUCUCUCCUCUCUACUCAGCUCACAGCGGCCUUUCCUUAUUCCUCAUCCUCCCGGGGAAGAAGCGAGUUUUCAGAUAUAGCUAGGAUUCAUAUAGUGGGAGGAAAUGAACUAUUUCUUAAAACAUGAGCGCUAUAAUUGUUGUUUGAAAAUGUGUCUCAGGGAUUUGGAACACUUCUUGGGUACAACUGAAGAAACCUAAAGUGACUUAUCAGAGAUUGAGUCCUCAGGGGUAGUGAUAGUUUCUCUCCCAUAAAAGUAUGAGAUCAUGAAACAUGUACAAUAAACUUAGUAAUACAGAUAGUGAUUAUACCAGGCAGCAAACAGCAGGCUCCCCCUCUGUAGUUGUCAGCAUGUGAAUGACUUGUUAUCCUUGGUGACACCCUGGCUGUCUAGCAAAGUCUCAACACAUAGUAUGCGUUUGGAAAUCUUUUCCCUUCUGUUUUAUUUUUGUUAAAGUAUGUUAAUAAUGAUGUUGUUAAUGAUAGUGAUUAUCAUUUACGCUAUGUUAUUCAGCCCUUUUUCUAGUUCAAAGAAAUGCACACAAAUGGAUACCCCGGCAACCAGUCCCAAAUCUUAGCUCCAGAUGAUUUCUGCUUCUCCUGAACUUUCUAACUCUUCUAUGUAAUCAUCCUAGCCCAAGAGUAUAUCUAGACCUGGACCAGUCAGUUCAGAGGACAUUUCCACUUGUCUGCCUUAUAUAUUAAAGGUUCCUUGGUGGAUUAAAAUAUUCCUUGUAAGAACUUCUGAAGCAAUCAAUUGCCCUCUCUGAUAAUACACUCUGUGUGUCUAGCUCCAUAUUCACUACUCUUCUUCUGCCUAAACUAAGAUAAUUCUAGAAAUCUUUCUGAAGUAUUGGGUAGAAUUACUAAAAAGCAGCAUACUGGAAAUUGUCUGAAAGCAUUGUCACUGUCCAUUAGCCCCUCCUGACUUCCCUCCCCUCCUUAUCCAAUCUAAUUCCUGAUGGCAAGUCAGGCUUUAUGUCCAUUUGCUCAUUGUACAUCUCCCUUUCCUUUAUUCCUCUAAUAAAACCUCACCGAUGUGAUGGAUUAAAAUGACCACUCACUCACCAUCUCCUUGUCAAAAUUUCUAUUUUUUUCUUUUUCCAAUCUGCUAUGUUAUUUAUAGUUAAUAACUCCCUCGUAUUUUCUGAGAUCACUUUUUAUUAUUUGAACAUAGGACACACAGUUGUUUCAGAGUCUGUCUGAUCAUUUUCACCCGAAAUCUUCACAGGAUAUUUUUGUGAUUUUCUUUUUGUGCUGCUUCUCAGUUAUGGUGCUUGAGUUUUCAUGGCGUUUGUAUUUCUCCUUACCAAUCUGAUGAUGUUUGACACUGUGCCAAAUGCUAUAGCUGUAGAAAUAAUUUUUGGUGUAGGAUGGACCAUAUUUUUCUGCAGCAAUCAUUUUUCUGUGCUUCUGAAAGUGCAUGUAGGUAUAAACGAUCAGGCUCCCUGAAUCAGUUUAAGGCUUCAGGUGUCCUGGAGCAUCUGGAGAACAGGUUUGUCUCUGGCUUAUCGUUACUAUUGGAAUUUGGCAAUGACACAUUUGGUAUGUUCUGGUCUUUGCCUUUACCCCCCUGGCCUGUGAGUCAGCUUCCUGAGAGCUGAGUCAGGAUCUGCAAAUGCCCUCUAGGACAAAUGGACUGCUGUGCUCACUUCCCAGGGCUCUUGCCCUCACCAACAUUCCAGCCAAGUUAUUCCUUAUUUUUUUUUAGGACUUUAAUUAAUUGACAUUUUUAAUGUUGUUUUUGAUAUUUUUUCCAACUAUGUAGAUAACAAUAGAAACAGUGAGUGACAUUAUCCUUAAUUAUUGGGAUUAAGGUGAAAAUAACUUUACUUGGAAUUCUAAUUUUCCUUGAAUUUUAAUGUUAGAUUCUUUGUGAUGUGUCUGAUAUUUAACUUAAAUGGUAUAGAGAUAUUAAACUCUGAUAUCAAAUACUUUUUUUAAAAAACUUAAAGGCCAUUCAUAAUCCAGUUGAGACAUAUCUUUGUUUGGGGCAUGUUAUUACUAGAGUAUUCUUAUAUUGUUAUUUAUUUCUAUCACAUAACCUCUGUGUUCCAUUGGACCAUAUGGCAAG